rnacentral:rRNA from 1 species
CCUACGGGUGGCAGCAGUGAGGAAUAUUGGUCAAUGGGCGCGAGCCUGAACCAGCCAAGUCGCGUGAGGGACGACGGCCCUAUGGAUUGUAAACCUCUUUUGUCGGGGAGCAAAAGACGCCACGCGUGGCGUUUCGAGAGUACUCGAUGAAAAAGCAUCGGCUAACUCCGUGCCAGCAGCCGCGGUAAUACGGAGGAUGCGAGCGUUAUCCGGAUUUAUUGGGUGUAAAGGGCGUGUAGGCGGGAAUGCAAGUCAGUUGUGAAAGCUAUGGGCUCAACCCAUACACUGCAUUUGAGACUGUCUUUCUUGAGUACUGGUGAGGCAAUCGGAAUUCCGUGUGUAGCGGUGAAAUGCUUAGAUAUUACUCAGAACACCGAUUGCGCAGGCAGCUUACUAAUCCGCAUCUGACACUGAUGCACGAAAGCGUGGGUAGCGAACAGGAUUAGAUACCCGAGUAGUC